GUGCACCAGGCGAGAAACCUUCACAAUGCACGAAAGUGUGAUGAGGGUACUCCGAGUGCGCAUACAUUGUAUGUGCUUUUCUGCAGCGUAAAUAGUUGCAGGAAUAAGGGCUGGGCAAGACCGGUGCCAGCCGCCGCGGUAACACCGGCAGCCCUAGUGGUGGCCGCUUUUAUUGGGCCUAAAGCGUCCGUAGCCGGACAGGCGAGUCUUUGGGUAAAUCCUACGUCUUAAGCGUGGGAAUUCUAAAGAUACUACCUGUCUUGAGGCCGGGAGAGGCUGGAGGUACUCCUGGGGUAGGGGUAAAAUCCUAUAAUCCUGGGGGGACCACCGAUGGCGAAGGCAUCCAGCUGGAACGGGCCUGACGGUGAGGGACGAAACCCAGGGGAGCGAGCCGGAUUAGAUACCCAGGUAGUCC
rnacentral:rRNA from 1 species